AAGAGACAAAGGGAGCAGCAUUAAGUUGACACGAUUCCAAGCUUCUUUUUUUUUUUUUCCAACAUUGCAGGAUAAACAGUAUUGCUUAGCAAGGCAUUCUAUGGAUUAGGCCGCCGAUAAAGCCGAGCACUGUACAGGUGUUUUUCUUCAGGUCGUCUUUUCAUUGGAUGGAGAUAAAUCAACGAUUAAAAGGAACGUCAUUUAAAUCUUCAAUUCUUCCGUAGGAGCUUUUUUAAACCUUUUUGAAAAAGGCUGCGGAAUGAAUCUUCAACGUGAACUGACCGGGUCUCCUUUCCAUCCAGGUGGUCCUUCAUCUCCUGUGUGGCCUGGUAGACCCUGUUAAGUGAAAGAAUGACUUGGGUUUAAAAUUGCAUGUCAAUUGUUUAUUUACCAGUGAUGGCUAAAAACAUGAUUAUCGAUGCAGUGCACUUCUACACCACUGUACGCUACAACCACAAUAACAAAUAUACUGUCAGUCAAAAUCUGAUCUUAUUAACAGAUGACUUUGUGAUACAGCUCUUGUAUUAGGUUUGAUGAUUGUACAGGUGUACCUACUGUAGAUUUACUUCAUUUAUUUAGAGUAACUAUUUCUUCAAAAUCCAAAACUCAAUUUCUUUAACAGACAGGUAAAUAUCCAAUUGAAUGAUUUCUAAUCUUUAUGACUUUUUCGAGUUUCUAUGAAACCAACCUGUUGGCCAUCAAGUCCAGCAGGGCCAGCAUCGCCACCUAAGCCAGGUAAACCCUAAAGGAUUCCUGCUGGCCCUUGUGGCCCCUGAGGUCCAGGAGACCCAUUACUUCCCCGGGGCCCUGGUUUCCCAGUGGCUCCAGCAUCACCUUGGAGACCAGGAGGACCCUGGAAACACAAAGGACACACAGUUUAAUUAAGGACAGGACAAGUAGAGAUGACAGUGGUGGACCAGAGAAGGAAUAUGAUGAGGAAAAACCACCUGGGAGUCCAGGAAUUACAGAUAAAACCUCUCUCUCAUGUAGAGAUCAGCACAUCAAAUAGCAUUACCAUGGACAGAAAAACAGCACUGAGACUUAAAGCUACUUGUCAAUGUCAUAUCUUGAAGUAGUUUUUAUUGACUUGUUUAAUGUCUAUUUUUUUUACUGUGCUUUUAGAUAUGUAUGUCAACUGAUUGGGUUGUAGUGGCUGUACAUAAGAAAAGAAGCCCCUGAAUGCUUCCUCUUGGUCUUGGUCUCUCAGAAAUGCAUGUAAUGGACUCAGCACAAUUUUUUAUUUUUUGUUUUGGUCCAAAUUAUUGUUUUGUCCAAAUUGGUUAUUGUAGUUAUGAUGUUUGAUUUUUGCAUAAUUUUCGUACUAAACAGACACCCACGCGAUCAGAAAGAACCACAAAUCUACAAGCCCAAUUCCAAUGAAGUUGGGACGUUGUGUUAAACAUAAAUAAAAACAGAAUACAAUCAUUUGCAAAUCAUGUUCAACCUAUAUUUCAUUGAAUACACUCCAAAGAUAUUUAAUGUUCAAACUGAUAAACUUUAUUGUUUUUAGCAAAUAAUCAUUAACUUAGAAAUUUAUGGCUGCAACACAUUCCAAAAAAACAAUCAAUAAACAUUUGGGAACUGAGGACACUAAUUGUUGAAGCUUUGUAGGUGGAAUUCUUUCCCAUUCUUGCUUGAUGUACAGCUUCAGCUGUUCAACAGUCCGGGGUCUCCGUUGUCGUAUUUUACGCUUCAUAAUGCGCCACACAUUUUCAAUAGGAGACAGGUCUGGACUGCAGGCAGGCCAGUCUAGUACCCGCAACUCUUUUACUACGAAGCCGCGCUGUUGUAACACCUGCAGAAUGUGGUUUGGCAUUGUCUUGCUGAAAUAAGCAGGGGUGUCCAUGAAAAAGAUGUUGCUUGGAUGGCAGCAUAUGUUUCCCCAAAACCUGUUUGUACCUUUCAACAUUAAUGGUGCCUUCACAGAUGUGUAAGUUACCCAUGCCAUUGGCACUAACACAGCCCCAUACCAUCACAGAUCCUGGCUUUUGAACUUUGCGUCCAUAACAGUCCGGAUGGUUCUUUUCGUCUUUGGCCCGGAGAACACGACAUCCACAAUUUCCAAAAACAAUUUGAAAUACCACAGAACGCUUUUCCGCUUUGCAUCAGUCCAUCUUAGAUGAGCUCGGGCCCAGAGAAGCCGGCGGCGUUUCUGGGUGUUGUUGAUAAAUGGCUUUUGCUUUGCAUUUGAGAGUUUCAAGUUGCACUUAUGGAUGUAGCGCCGACAUUGGUUUUCUGAAGUGUUCCUGAGCCCAUGUGGUGAUAUCCUUUACACAUUGAUGUCGGUUUUUGAUGCAGUGCCGCCUGACGGAUCGAAGGUCACGGGCACUCAAUGUUGGUUUUCAGCCUUGCCGCUUACAUGCAGUGAUUUCUCUGAACCUUUUGAUGAUAUUAUGGACUGUAGAUGAUGAAAUCCCUAAAUUCCUUGCAAUUGUAUGCUGAGGAACAUUGUCCUUAAACUGUUGGACUAUUUUCUCACGCACUUGUUUACAGAGAGGUGAACCUCGCCCCAUCUUUGCUUCUGAAUGAGUGAGCAAUUCAGUGAAGCUCCUUUUCCACCCAACCAUGGCACCCACCUGUUCCCAAUGAGCCUGUUCACCUGCGGGAUGUUCCAAACAGGUGUUUGAUGAGCAUUCCUCAACUUUCCCAGUCUUUUUUGCCACCCGUCCCAACUUUUUUUGGAACGUGUUGCAGCCAUAAAAUUUGCAAAUCAUUGUAUUCUGUUUUCAUUUAUGUUAAACACAAUGUCCCGACUUCAUUGGAAUUGGGCUUGUAACAUAACUGACAUAUGUACAGUAAUACUGGUAUAUACUUACUGGAGGUCCUGGCUUUCCAGCAGGCCCAGGAAAACCUCGCAAACCUGUCUCACCCUGGUGCAAAAGACAAGAUUUGAUGUGUGUAAUACUUCAUUUGUACGUGAAUAAUUGACUUGUUUAACUGGGCUAAGUAUUAAUAGUGCCAAAAUUGCAGGUUGACGCUGACAUUCCUAUUAUCACAAACAACGUGUUCAUGUUUUUCGACUGUAACUUUAAACAUUCUUAAAGAAGGCGGAGGGAAACAUUACGUUACCCUCUCUCCAGUGGCUCCCGGAUGCCCACGCAUGCCCGCGGUGCCGUGAAUACCCUAAUGGACAUUGAGAAGAAUGUCAAUAUAACUGAUGAAUAUUACACACACACACAAAUAUACAUAUAAUAUAAUGUAUAUAUUAGGGCUGUCAAAAACAAAGCAUGACCUCCUGAUUAAUCCCAAAAAAAUCACAUGAAUCAUGUAUUAACUCACUUUUUUAAUCACAAAAUGUAUUACAGGUCUGUGAGAGCCAAAAAUCUUGCUUGUUUGUAGGUGACCAAAUACUUAUUUCCACCAUAAUUUGCUAAUAAA